AGCGAACGCUGGCGGCAGGCUUAACACAUGCAAGUCGAGCGGGCAUCCUUGUGGUGUCAGCGGCAGACGGGUGAGUAACGCGUGGGAACGUGCCCUUCGGUUCGGAAUAACUCAGGGAAACUUGAGCUAAUACCGGAUACGUGCGAGAGCAGAAAGGUUUAUCUGCCGAAGGAUCGGCCCGCGUCUGAUUAGCUAGUUGGUGAGGUUACGGCUCACCAAGGCGACGAUCAGUAGCUGGUCUGAGAGGAUGAUCAGCCACACUGGGACUGAGACACGGCUCAGACUCCUACGGGAGGCAGCAGUGGGGAAUAUUGGACAAUGGGGGCAACCCUGAUCCAGCCAUGCCGCGUGAGUGAUGACGGCCUUAGGGUUGUAAAGCUCUUUUCUCCGGGACGAUAAUGACGGUACCGGAGGAAUAAGCCCCGGCUAACUUCGUG
rnacentral:rRNA from 1 species